UCCCUGGUGGCUCAGAUGGUAAAGCGUCUGCCUACAAUGCAGAAGACCAGGGUUCGAUCCCUGGGUUGGGAA
rnacentral:tRNA from 1 species